AAACAAAUGUAUAUAGAAACUACAUCAUCGUAUCCCAUGGUUCGAUGCUCAAGAUGUGGACUGGUCUCCUGAACAUGAUGUAGUAAUUAUUUGUCUUUCAUGGCAGACGUUUAACCCUGCUCCUGUUAAGUUCUGACUCACUGACCCCUGCAUCCCACCCGUGGAUCCGCCUAUGUUUAGAUUUCGCCAGACCAGAAAACCAGAGGUUGACUCCUGCACUGGAAAAAAACCCGGAAACAUUGACAUGAAAUACGUCAUAGCCAUAGCUGUAUGUGUGCCUGUAGUUGUCAUCAUCAUCAUCGUCGUUGUCGUCGUGUUUCUGUUAAACAGACGUUGGAAGAGAACUGUUUAUGAUGAAUGCAUCGAGCAUCAUUCCAUUGAUCCCCCUCGUUUCCUUGGAAUCCGUGAAUGGCACCGUGUACUCGGAUGAUGAAUGCAGCGAGCAUCCUUCCAUUGAUCCCCCUCAACACGCCUUGGAAUCCAUGCAUGGCACCGUGUACUCAGAUGAUGAACACAACAACGAUCAUUGCA
rnacentral:misc_RNA from 1 species